ensembl:lincRNA
AAAUCCCAAAAGUUCACUGCAGGGCACUUAGCCUCCAAAGACACUGCUCUUGUGGACAGAACUUAAUUGGGGUGAUUUUCUUCUAGAUGGAAGAUUUUUGUGACUAAUCUCUCCAGAGAAAGAAGAGGCAAAAAGGAAACACAGAGGACUGAUGAGCAAGACAACCGAGGGAGAUGGAGUCCAGCGCAGGAGCUGUGGAAGACGGAAACUGACCACACGUGUGGGGCUAAGGUAAGGCCAGCCCUGAAAACACAGAGAGCCCACAACAAGCACAUAGACAAGGCAAGGGGCCCAGGCCAGCCAGGCAAACAAGUUGCCAGGCAGCAGGGUUGAAACUGACAGCUUCCUCUUGAGUGUAUAAGUAAACCUGCUACAGAGGCUGAGCAGCUCCUUCUCUCCAUCAGGAGGGUAAGGGUUUGACCUGAUCCUAGUUUUGUCUCUUCUUUAUUUUCUCAUCCUCUGGCAGUCCUUCACCCCAAGAACCCCAAGAGCUGCAUGGGUCGCGGCAAUCUAAGAAGAAAAAGUUACACAGUUGAAAAAAAAAUUCAACAUAGGAAGUCUGGAAAUAACUGAAAUAGUAACGAUGUAACCACAAAGAUGUGUCCAGGGGCCCUGAGGGGACACGCCAGAGGAGACUGCCGGGUGAAGCCAAGGCUGAAGAGGCAGAGUUGUUUCUGGUCUUUAGACUCUAUCCCAGCCUCACGAUUGGACACCCAUGGUUUGCAACCAAACCCAGCUAGCCCAGUUGCCCCAAAGCCAAGCAGUCAUCCGGGAGACAUCUAUAACACCACCAUCCCAUGUCCAGCCUAGUUCAGCAGAACCCUCCCUACACAGGUGAGAAAUCUUACUUGUCAGAACCCACUAAGCUUUUGCAGUUGACAUGCAGCAAGAAAAUCUAACAGAUACAUAACAUUCAGUGUCUGGUUUCCUCAUCUGCUAAUAAAACAAAAACUGGCUCUGUGUAAAUCUAAACAAGUCCGUAACACAUAAAAAACCCUAAAAUUUCACUGCCUUUUUCACAAUAACUCACGAAUUCGUAUCCUGGAAAUUGUGCAGCAGUUUUAUGAUUUUUUUCUGAUUUGAUUUUAUUUUAAACAGGGCAAAGGGAACCAAAAAAGGGAAGAAAUCCACAGACAAGAAAAACAAAACCAAAAGAGACAAACAACAAGAAAAAACCCAAAACAAGAAUAAUUUAGGCUUUCAAAACAAGAUGAUAGGAAUUUAACAAUGGUUGUCAUUUUGCACAGUUAUCUUCAAAAGAGUUGUUUAGAUUACCAGAUAUAGAUAUGCAAAAUUGAUCUAAUCAUAUGAGCAUUAACUAUUCUGUUCCAAGGACUAAUAUAAUUAGUAGUAUAAUCAUCUUAACUGUCAUAUAUAUAUAUAUAUAUAUAUAUAUGUACAAAAUUAUGUUUUUUCUUUCCCUCUCCUUUUCCCUGAGUUAUUUUUCCCCUUUGAGCAGCUUCUUACUCUUCCACAAUAUUUAUUGAAGACUUUGGAUCUUAUUUAUUCUUUCAGUUUCUUACACUAGGGAGACAAUACAGUAUUUACACAUGUAAGUUUGAUUUAAUUUACUUAUGAGUAUGGUUUAAAGUUGCCUCCAUUACCUAUAUUUUUAAUGUAGCGGGAACGUGACAUGAAAAUGUAUAGCAAAACAACUUACAUUCUUAUGUUUUAUCAUUGUUGGAGUUAAAUCCUAAUAUUAUACAUCAUGGUAUCCUGGGGAAGGAAUUUAAUAAAAGUGACAAUAUAU